GGUUUGGCACCUCGAUGUCGGCUCAUCGCAUCCUGGGGCUGUAGUCGGUCCCAAGGGUUGGGCUGUUCGCCCAUUAAAGCGGUACGCGAGCUGGGUUCAGAACGUCGUGAGACAGUUCGGUCCCUAUCCGUCGCGGGCGCAGGAAAUUUGAGAGGAGCUGUCCUUAGUACGAGAGGACCGGGAUGGACGCACCGCUGGUGUACCAGUUGUUCUGCCAAGGGCAUCGCUGGGUAGCUAUGUGCGGACGGGAUAAGUGCUGAAAGCAUCUAAGCAUGAAGCCCCCCUCAAGAUGAGAUUUCCCAUUCCGCAAGGAAGUAAGAUCCCUGAAAGAUGAUCAGGUUGAUAGGUCUGAGGUGGAAGUGUGGCGACACAUGGAGCUGACAGAUACUAAUCGAUCGAGGACUUAACCACAUUU
rnacentral:rRNA from 1 species